GGAGACGUACCGAAGAGGCCGUAACGGGAAUGACUCGAAAUCAUUUUGUCGGGCAACCGGCACGUGGGUUCGAAUCCCACCGUCUCCGCCA
rnacentral:tRNA from 1 species